AGGUGUGGAGUUUGGAGCACGUAUGGUCAACAUCGAUGGAAAGCAAAUCAAACUGCAAAUCUGGGAUACGGUAAGAGAAGGCAAAACAGUUUAGUACCAGACCAAGACCCAGCUAUACCAAUAAAAGCUAAUGCAGCCAUGUGCAGUGCUAAGACACCUGUAGUUUUUUGUUUGUUUGUUUUUUUGUUUUUUUGGAGCUGGGGACCAAACCCAGGACCUUAGGCAAGCGCUCUACCACUGAGCUAAAUCCCCAACCCCGACACCUGUAGUUUUAAAACUGUAGGAUGAGGCAAGAAGCCCAAGAAAGCCAGGAGGGAUUACAUACUGAGGAGAUACUCAGGUCAAAAACCAAAAACCUUUUUUAUUUUAAAUGAUUUGACUCACAGGAAGGUAGAAGCAAGUAGAUCUCUAAGAGCAGCCUGGUCUACAAAGUGAGUUCCAGGAUAGCCCAGGCUAUACAGAGAAACCAAGUCUUAAAAAAAAAACAAAACAAAUUAAAAAAGAAUUAAUACAGU
rnacentral:lncRNA from 1 species